ensembl:lncRNA
AUGGACAUGGGAGGAGGUUAUGGCAGGGAUUCUGCCAUGAAAGCAGGCGGAGGCAGCGCAGGAGGACCAAUGGUGACUCCGAAGUUCACGACCAAGAAGGAAGCCCGAGAGGCAGCCCCCCCCAUUUUUUGGGGGCGGGGGCACACGGGUUGGUUGCCGAAGCCAAGGGGAGAGUUUGAGAGCGAAAAGGAGUAUUGGGAUAGACUGAGUGAGGAGUAUUGUGAGAUGGUUGAGGGGAGUGAUGAGGUAGAGUGGAUGGUUUGGUGGAGCAAGACAGUCGCCGUGAGGAGCGUGUUUUGCGGAGAUACGCAAUGUGUCUCCAGUGCGCAUCCACAGCCCGGUACGUUCUGUGCCAGCUCCUCGCACUUGCCGUGCGGACGUGAGCACCCAGCCAGGAUGGGUUGUGCCGGCUCAGCGCUCCCGGUCUCCAGUACGCCUCCUCGGUCCAGGAUAUCCUGUGCCGGCUCUACGCACUGUUUGCCAGUGCGCCUUCACAGCCCAAUGCGCCCUGUGCCAGCGCCCCGCACUAAAGGGAGCAUCCAGCCAGGACGCGUUGUGCCAGCUCUACGCUCCAGACCUCCAGUGCGUCUCCACGGUCCAGUAUAUCCUGCGCCGGCUCUACGCACUGUGUGUCCUGUGCCAGCGCCCCGCACUAGCCAGGCUAAAAUGAGCAUCCAGCCAGGAUGCGUUGUGCCAGCUUUACGCUCCAGACCUCCAAUGCGCCUCCACGGCCCAGUAUAUCCUGUGCUGGCCAUACGUACUCUGUCUUCAGUGUGCCUCCACAGUCCAGUACGCCCUGUGCCUCCUCCCCGCACUCGCCCUGAGGUGCAUGUCAUCAGCCCGGUGCCACCUGUACCGGUCCCACGCAUCAGGCCUCCAGUGCGCCUCCACAGUCCAGAGCUUCCAGCGACAGUUCCCAGUCCGGAACUUCCGGCGACAGUUCCCAGUCCGAAGCUUCCGGCGACGUUUCACACUCCGGAGCUUCCGGCGAUGUUUCCCAGUCCGGAGCUUCCGGCAACGUUUCCCAGUCCGGAGCUUCCGGCAACGUUUCCCAGUCCGGAGCUUCCGGCAACGUUCCCCAGUCCGGAGCUUCCGGCGACGUUUCCCAGUCCGAAACCUCCUGAGACCGUCCACAGUCUGGAGCAUCUGGCGACAGUCCGGAGUCUCCGGCGGUGGUCCGAAGUCGGUCUGCAGUCUGGAGUCUCCAGCGGCGGUCCGCAGUCUGGAGUUUCCGGCGGCGGUCGGCAGUCCGAUCCAAAAUGGAUGGUGUUGAGAGAUAGAUGGCAGGGGUUGAAUGGGGCUGAAGGGUGGGACUAA